UAAUAAGUGUUUUAUGGCACUUUUUAAAUCCAUAUCCACCUUGUGUGCAAUGUCAGUCGGUUUUCUUUUUCGUCAAGAAAAAAAGGAUCGACCAAACAGCAACUUAUUCUAAUUGAACUUUUGUCUGAAAACUAUUAUGAAUAAACUAAUUCAAAAUA
rnacentral:misc_RNA from 1 species